rnacentral:rRNA from 1 species
AUUGAACGCUGGCGGCAUGCCUUACACAUGCAAGUCGAACGGUAACGGGCCUUCGGGUGCCGACGAGUGGCGAACGGGUGAGUAAUACAUCGGAACGUGCCCGAUCGUGGGGGAUAACGAGGCGAAAGCUUUGCUAAUACCGAAUACGAUCUACGGAUGAAAGCAGGGGACCGCAAGGCCUUGCGCGGACGGAGCGGCCGAUGGCAGAUUAGGUAGUUGGUGGGAUAAAAGCUUACCAAGCCGACGAUCUGUAGCUGGUCUGAGAGGAUGAUCAGCCACACUGGGACUGAGACACGGCCCAGACUCCUACGGGAGGCAGCAGUGGGGAAUUUUGGACAAUGGGCGCAAGCCUGAUCCAGCCAUGCCGCGUGCAGGAUGAAGGCCUUCGGGUUGUAAACUGCUUUUGUACGGAACGAAAAGCCUUCUUUUAAUACAGGAGGGUCAUGACGGUACCGUAAGAAUAAGCACCGGCUAACUACGUG